GUCUGGCUGGAACAGGUGACCAUCAGAGUGGAGCGAACUGAGCUUGAAAUAUUUUAUUGUCAUGCACUUUUUCUGCUCCAAAGCAUGAAAGUUAAUAACUGAGAUAUUUUCAUAGAAGAUAAUUGCUAUUUUUGGUUUUUUUGUUGGCCUGUAAAAAAAGAUUAAACUUACUCUAAAAUGGGAACUGGACAGACUACAGAUUGAAGAAUAGAAAAUCCCUUUAUUGUCCCUCAGUGGGGAAACUGUGGUGUCACAGCAGCAAUUAUGUAGCCAAACAGGAGAGUAAAACAUAAUAAUAAAGAGUAAACUAAAAGAAAACAUAAAACAGACAAACUUAAUAUAUCCAAAAGGUAAAACAAUCUAAAUACUGAAUAUAUACACAUUGUAAGGAGUAAAAAGAGUAAAUAAAAAUUGAGACAUAAGUAACGAGUGAUGUGUUUUAUUUAAAAUGCACUUGCUCGUGUGUAAUUUGGUCAUAUCAGAUUCUGUGUUCAGAUGCAAAAAUAAGUUUCUUUCCAAUUGAAUAACAAGACAUCUGUAAAUAAACUUUUCAACAAAUAUUGAGUUUGGCCCGCAAUUUUGUCCCAGUUUUUAAUUUUGUCCCAUUGUGAAUUUGAGUUUGACACCCCUGCUUUAGGCUGUGCGUGCAGUAAUAAGGAGACAGACACUGGCUGAGCCGGUGCAUAAAUAUUUGAUUUUCUGGCGGUGGGCAAUAGUUAAAGAAAUAUUAUUUUUUUAAAAUAAAAUACGUCUUUAAAUUUUGGCCAAUGAGCUCUGGCACAUAAUAAACAGAAAUACUGCUUCAUCAUUUCAUGUACCUUUGAAUCUACAGUUGGUCUUAUUUAAAAAUGUUUUUUUUUAUUAAAACUAUCAUAGCUGGAGUGUUUAAAAAAUAAAAGUGCCAUAAGAUAUUUGGAAGUUGUUAUUUUAUUUCUAUUACCCAACAGUUAUCCAAUCCAUGUUUGUUCUGUUUUUUUCCUCUAGGAAUCAUUGAGGCAUGACAUCCUUCAGAGGUCGUACAAUCGACUGUCAAGCAUCUUGGAGAGGCAACCUGUUGAUGGGGAAGGGCUACAGUUUGCUUGUUACCAUUAUUUCAUUUUAUUAGGUGCUCUAGGUGACAUUGUUGAUGUAGGAGAGGAUAUACUUUCUGCUCUUUCAGAUCUGAAUACUAUUAUCCAGCAGGAAAGAGAUAAUCAAAAGACAUUAAUAACAGUAGAGCUGAAACAACUAAUCGAUUUAAUCGAUUAUAAUCGAUUAUUAAAAUAGUUAACAACUUUUUUAGUCAUCGAUUAGUUGUUUAAUAAUCAUAUUUUACCGCAUAAAGUCUAUUUUUACCACAAUCUGACAUCGGUUACAAGCUGUUAAAUUUGCCGCCAGUGUGUGGCAGUAAUGAGCCACUGAUCUACCAGUGGAGCCGUAGAAGAAGAAAUGAGCCAAUGAGUGCCCUCGGUUUUCAUGACGUAUCACGUUACUGACGCUCAUCUUGCUGUGAGAGAUGGCGGAACAAGAGGAAAUACGGAAGAAAAAUAGAAGCGACAAAACUUUAGAGAAACCCCGGACAAAAACCUCACGAGUAUGGGAGCACUUCACUCUAGAUGCCUUUAAAAGGCAAAAUAUGCAAAAACCAUCUAGCAUGGCACGGAAGCACGACGUCCCUAAGUGAACAUUUGAGACGAAAACGUGGGGGCUGAUGCAGCAGAGGAAGAGCACCGCGGUCAAGUGAGCCGUCAUUUGGAAGAGCCAGCCCGAAAAAAAACAAGCAACGAUGGACAACUACAUGGGGAACAAGACACUCACCCCCCAGCAAUUCAUACCACUUACAAACUCUAUUCUAAACAUGCUGGUAAAAGACAUGAGGCCACUAUCCAUGGUGGAAGAAGCAGGCUUCCAGCUAAUGCUAAAAAAUUAUUCUGGACUGAUAUUUUGCACUGUUUAGCUCAUUUUAUACUGCUGACUGUGUUCAUGUGCAAUAAAAUAGAUUGCAGUCAACUGCACAAUUCUCUUAUGUUUUUUUUUCUUAACUGAAAUGCAUGUAUAGGUUAAAUAGCUAAACAAUAACAAACCGAUUAAUCGAUUAAUCGAAAAAAUAAUCGACAGAUUAAUCGAUUAUGAAAAUAAUCGUUAGUUGCAGCCCUAAAUAACAGUACACGUUGAAAGAGGUUCUCGUGGCCGCCCACGAUUGGUGGUGUCGCGAGAGGCUCUCGAACACCUUGUGGAAAUGAGUCUGCCAACAAGUGUCAUUACCAAAUUCCUUGGUGUAUUCAGAGCAACUCUAUUCAGACGGAUGUCUGAAAACAAUAUAUCUGUAUCUGCCACAUACAGUAAAUGCAGUGACGAGGAACUAGAUUCAUUUAUCUCAGGAAUUAAGAGCAACAUGCCAGAUGCUGGGUACAGGGUAGUCCGAGGUACUCUGCUUGCCCAGGGACAUAGAGUGCAGUGGGACCGACUGUAUGCAUCCAUGCAUCGUGUGGACAGUGCGGGUGUACUUGCUCGAAUGACACGUCUGGGAUGUGUAGUGAGAAGAACGUAGACAGUUCCUUGCCCAAAGUAUAUGGUGCACAUUGACCCAAUCACAAGCUCAUCAGGUAAUGUCUGUGUGUAAUUGGAGAUGUUAUUUUUUGUUUUGGGAGUUGCAUUUGUAAUUGUCUGUGUUUUAACAGGUACAAUUUUAUUAUCUUUGGGGGAAUAGAUGGCUGUUGGGUAUUUUUAUAAUUGUACCUUUUUGAGGCCUAAAAGAUGCCCAGGUUGUAUUAUAAACACAUCAUGAAUCUCUGUUUUUGCCAACUGUUGUUGUUCAUGAAAGGUUGAGCAAGGAUGUUGAUUGUGGGUUUCCAACUGAAAAUUGUACCUCUGUAACCUGAGAAGGCCCGCCUCCUCCCCCAUCCAUUGUGAAUAAAGCCCCUGACGAACUGGGAGCACACGGGAGUGAUGUGGGAAGAAGCCUUGGAGAAGGCCAUUCCUGCAUGAACUCUCCUUGAUUUUGGAGACUCAGGGUAAAAUGUC